rnacentral:pre_miRNA from 1 species
GCAGAAGAUCAAAUGAGUACCGCCAAUGACAAACUGUUGAUGAAGACUUUGUCACAAUUAUCAGCAGUUGUCCAUUGACGUUAUUUACCUUCGUUUUCAUCG